UUUUAGCGUGACCGUUUUCGUGAGCAAUUUUCAUCGUCCAUCUUAUUUAAUUUUUUUAUAAUUAAUACUUUUAUUGUUAUAAGAUGAUAAACACAUAAAUAGUACUUUAUACAUGAUUUAUGUUUUUAUUUUUUUAAAAAAAAUAAAUAAGAUGGACGAUCAAAGUUGGUCACAAAGUAAUGGCUAUACUUAAA
rfam:Oryza barthii chromosome 1, whole genome shotgun sequence.